GUCUGUGUGGUGUAGUGGCUCGAAUGCUGGACUAGGAUUCUGGGAGUUGAGGGUUCAAAUCCCCACUCUGCCA